UCCCAGCACGCACGCACCGAGGUUCUGGUCUUCUGGAAGACCUGGUAACUGAGGAGGUGGCUACCCGAACAGGUCGACGGCGGCAACCGAGGGAGGCGACGACUGACGCAGGUGCAUGCAAACGAAACAAGAACAGGAGAGGAGAUAACUGAAGCGCUCAAAAAGUCGAAACGAACUCGAUUGCUCCAUCUCACUCACUCCCCAUAUGGCGAUAUCAUUUGUUCCACUACGGAUCUUCCAGGGCUGACCGGCGCAGAAACACCAGCCGCAAACCGACCUUUCGGCGGCGGAUUAACCGGAGAUGUAGCCUACACACAUGGAUUCAUGGGCUAUUCUUCAGAUCAAAGGUCGACGAGGCUUGCAACGCAGAGGAGCAAGAACGCUGCUGUGUGUGGCAGCUGAAAUCUUCAGUAAGAAGAAGGGAUGGGCGCCGAUGGUGCUCAGACUAUCCAGGUGAAGUGUGCGGGAAGAAAAAGAAGUAGAAGAAGAAGAAGAAAAAUACAAGAAGAGUAUCAGUAGGGGGAGGACCUUGAGGAAGAGCAUGAUGGUGGACACAAUUUGUUGUUUUUAGUUGUCUUUAUAUUGAGGUACAAGUUUUAAUUUUCUAUAUGUUGCCUGGAGGUGAAAGAUCUAGUUGUGAGCUGUAGAGGUUUUAAUUUUCUGUAUGUUGCCUGGAGGUGAAAGAUCUAGUUGUGAGCUGGAGCGCUUGUUCAAAAAGUUGAGUAGUGUUCUUAAGUGUGCGGAUUGGAGGAACUGUAAA